GGUUUAUCUGCAGCGUACGUGCUUGGUAGUCGAAGGGUUGAGUUUUAAACUGCUUAGCUAUAUUGGCACAAGCUUGCAUAUGGCUCUCUUGCCGGGGAACUAAUGAAAUUACUGUUAAACAAAGCCAGGGAGUGAAAACUGAGCAAGUGGAAUUUUGUAUAUAAACACUGUUUGGAAUAUUGCCUUCAGAUGUUUGUGGUUGCCUAAGGCUCGCGUUAGAAGUAAUCUUUGACAAAGCAUCAACACUACCCACCUCUCAAGAUAGCCGAGGUUUACACUGACAGGUUCUGCAGGCACACUUUCUGAGGGGCAAGUUAGUUAUUUUUACAGUGUUUUGCUGCUAGAACUAACCCAGUACCAAUAGGGUUGAGAGGCGAAAAGUAUGGCUUUACACUGAUAGUGUUUCAUUCGCUUGCCAGAGGAGUGUAAUCUGCAUGGGCAUUGCUGUGGGUUGAGCUGUCUGGGUGAGGAGGCUGCUGCAGCACACAGCCCUGAUAGCGUGCCGCUGUGGGAGCAGUUGCAGGAGCCUCCUUCCACCAGGGCUCAGUGUGGACUAAUCAUAAGGAAAAGGAGUUACCUUAGCUGAAGAAAACAUCACUAUCCAACCAGGACCAGCUCUGACCACCCCUGAGCUCUGCUGGUGGUGCUGCUUUCAAGUGUCAGGGAGGCUUUGGCACUUCUGCGCUGUCUGCUGAUGGCAGAGGGGGUGUGAGGCUGUCCGGGUGAGCAGCUGGGAGGUGUUUAUGCCGGUGGAGGCUUUGCUGUAGGAGGAAGUUGGUGUCCCUGAUUAACAAAGGAGAAUGCUUUCUGCAGAGGAAGCCUCACAUAGACUGGACGUUGACAGCUUGCAAUGAUUAUAUGCCAGGUGGAAUGGUUUUCCUCUAAAUCAUAGUUUCACCUGCUGAUGAGAACUCAUCAGGACCUGUGGGAACUUGGCUGUCAGUUACUGAUCCCUGGCAUGGGCAGCAGCUGUGAAUCUUUUACUGUCUUCCUGUAGAAUGGACCCAGAGGUACCCUUUUAAGGUUUUCCUCUUUAUUUCCAGCCCACUUCUCCCAAGAUCCCUGUGUGCCAGCAUGCAGGACACCCUUCUUCAGGGCUUAGGGUGAUGAGAGGUCUGCCUUCUUCAGCCUUCUGGGGAGGUUUGCCUGCUUGCUGGACACAGACCUCCACUGGUGCAUCCCUGGAGGUGGGACCAUCCGAGCUGCAGGGGACAGCCUUUUCCAGGCUCACAGGUGCUAACAGGCUACUCUUGUUUAGAGAAACCAACUUCUCAGAGUAAAUUAUUUGUCAAAGAACACUUGGCAUCACCCCAGAUGCAAUUAAGGAAAAGAGAGAUCUUGAAUCUCUUCAAGCCUGAGCUGUAAGGCUCAUGCAAUAUUCACUUGCUUUUUAAUGUGCUGCUUUGCUUUGUUCAGCAUCAGGCAUUGCUGCUAGGAUCAGCGCUGACUCACUGACCUGCUUGUGCUUUUACUUACCCUGACAAACCGAAGCUCCCUUUGCUUUUCUCCUCCCUGCAAAAGCACUACAUUUCUCAUCCUGCCACAAGAGCACCUUUCUGCAUCCCUUUUCUUAGCUCAUAGAGUCCAGAUUUGCAC